rfam:TPA: Bos taurus chromosome 26, whole genome shotgun sequence.
UCCCUUGUGGUCCAGUGGUUAGGACUUCGCACUUCCACUUCAGAGGGCACAGGUUUAAUCCCUGGUCAGGGAA